rnacentral:rRNA from 1 species
GAUGAACGCUGGCGGCGUGCCUAAUACAUGCAAGUCGAGCGAACGGACGAGCAGCUUGCUUCUCUGAUGUUAGCGGCGGACGGGUGAGUAACACGUGGAUAACCUACCUAUAAGACUGGGAUAACUUCGGGAAACCGGAGCUAAUACCGGAUAAUAUUUUGAACCGCAUGGUUCAAAAGUGAAAGACGGUCUUGCUGUCACUUAUAGAUGGAUCCGCGCUGCAUUAGCUAGUUGGUAAGGUAACGGCUUACCAAGGCAACGAUGCAUAGCCGACCUGAGAGGGUGAUCGGCCACACUGGAACUGAGACACGGUCCAGACCCCUACGGGAGGCAGCAGUAGGGAAUCUUCCGCAAUGGGCGAAAGCCUGACGGAGCAACGCCGCGUGAGUGAUGAAGGUCUUCGGAUCGUAAAACUCUGUUAUUAGGGAAGAACAUAUGUGUAAGUAACUGUGCACAUCUUGACGGUAUCUAAUCAGAAAGCCACGGCUAACUACGUG